GAUGAACGCUGGCGGCGUGCUUAACACAUGCAAGUCGAACGGAAAGGCCCAAGCUUUCUUCGGUACUCGAGUGGCGAACGGGUGUGUAUCACGUGUGUGUUCUGCCCUGCACUUCGGGAUAGGCCUAGGAAACUGGGUCUAUUACCGGAUAUGACCACUUCUUGGAUGUUGUGUUUGAAAGUUUUCUCGGUGUGGGCUGAGACCGCGGCGUAUCAGCUUGUUGUUGGGGGAAUGUCCUACCAAGGCGUCGACGGGUAGCCGGCCUGAGAGAGUGUACGGCGACACUGGGACUGAGAGACGGCCCAGACUGCUACGGGUGGCAGAAGUGGGGAAUAUUGACCAAUGGGCGCAAGCCUGAUGCAGAGACGCCGCGGGGGGGAUGACGGCGUUCGGGUUGUAAACUCCUUUCGCUAGGGACGAAGCGUUUUUGUGACGGUACCUGGAGAAGAAGCACCGGCUAACUACGUG
rnacentral:rRNA from 1 species